rnacentral:rRNA from 1 species
AUGAAGAGUUUGAUCCUGGCUCAGGACGAACGCUGGCGGCGUGGAUUAGGCAUGCAAGUCGAACGCGAAAGUAUUUCUUCGGAGAUACGAGUAGAGUGGCGGACGGGUGAGUAACGCGUAGGUAUCUACCUUUAAGUGGGGGACAGCCCCGGGAAACCGGGAUUAAUACCGCAUGUGGAACUUCGGUUCUAAAGAUGGCCUCUGUUUCAAGCUAUCGCUUAGAGAUGAGCCUGCGUCCUAUUAGCUAGUUGGUAAGGUAAUGGCUUACCAAGGCGAUGAUAGGUAGGCGGCUUUAACGAGUGGUCGCCCACACUGGGAUUGAGAUACGGCCCAGACUCCUACGGGAGGCAGCAGUCGAGAAUAGUCUACAAUGGGGGAAACCCUGAUAGUGCGACGCCGCGUGGAUGAAGAAGCAUUUCGGUGUGUAAAAUCCUUUUCUUUGUGAGCAAUGUUUGUAAAAUUAAUAGUUUUACGAAAGAGAUAUUAGCAAAGGAAUAAGCUCCGGCUAACUCCGUGCCAGCAGCCGCGGUAACACGGGGGGAGCAAGCGUUGUCCGGAAUUACUAGGCGUAAAGGGCAAGUAGGCGGAAGUAUCAGUCAGAUGUUAAAGGCACGGGCUCAACCGGUGUAUGGCAUUUGAUACUGUAUUUCUAGAGUAAGGUAGGGGAAGACGGAAUUCCCGGUGUAGCGGUGGAAUGCGCAGAUAUCGGGAGGAACACCGGAGGCGAAGGCGGUCUUCUAUGCCAUUACUGACGCUGAAUUGCGAAGGUGUGGGUAUCCAACAGGAUUAGAUACCCUGGUAGUCCACACAGUAAACGAUGUGCACCAGAUGUUGGGGGAGAUAAUCUUUCAGUGUCGCAGUUAACGCGUUAAGUGCAUCGCCUGGGGAGUACGGUCGCAAGAUUAAAACUCA